rnacentral:rRNA from 1 species
GACGAACGCUGGCGGCGUGCUUAACACAUGCAAGUCGAACGGAAAGGCCCUGCUUUUGUGGGGUGCUCGAGUGGCGAACGGGUGAGUAACACGUGAGUAACCUGCCCUUGACUUUGGGAUAACUUCAGGAAACUGGGGCUAAUACCGGAUAGGAGCUCCUGCUGCAUGGUGGGGGUUGGAAAGUUUCGGCGGUUGGGGAUGGACUCGCGGCUUAUCAGCUUGUUGGUGGGGUAGUGGCUUACCAAGGCUUUGACGGGUAGCCGGCCUGAGAGGGUGACCGGCCACAUUGGGACUGAGAUACGGACCAGACUGCUACGGGAGGCAGCAGUGGGGAGUAUUGCACAAUGGGCGGGAGCCUGAUGCAGCAGCGCCGCGUGCGGGAUGACGGCCUUCGGGUUAUAAACCGCUUUCGCCUGUGACGAAGCGUGAGUGACGGUAAUGGGUAAAGAAGCACCGGCUAACUACGUG